CUUUCAUUUUUUUCCCCUCUAAUUAAAUAUAAAUAAAAAGGACUGCACGUUCUGGGCUGUCACUCACCAUAUAUAACUUUUCACCAGCAAUUCCAGAUCCAGGAAUGAUUUUAACUGGCAGUUUGUAAUGAAAUAAAGACGGAAGGUCUGUAAGUUCCAUCUGCAUAUCUGCAUUUCUUCCAUGUGCUUUUGCUUUGCACUUACUUCACUGUGUAAAAUCGGGACUUGUUCCAUGUGCACACACGUAGACAUUUCUGCUUUGGGAGCUGAUCAGAUCAGCAUUAUUUAGGCCACACUGAGUCAGGAAAGCUGUGCUGACAGAGCAGCAUCCCUGAGGAGAGCGACCUUUUUUCCUGAGUGAGGAAAAUCUGAGUGUAAUGUGCUGCUAAAUGAGAUGAGCCCCAUAAGGAUUUAACACAAAACCGUGCUUUUUUUUUUUUUUUUUUUUUUUUUAAUUGAUUUGUCUUUGGGUAAAGCUCUACAGGUAAGCUUACUCUUCUUUUUCUUUAUUAUUAUUAUUUUUCUUUCCUAACCGCUUCUAAAUUAGGCAAGGCUGCCAGCACGGCCGCAGCGGCGCGGCCUGCACAGCACUUCCCGCCAGGCCCGGGCCGGGGCCGACUCCCGCAGCUCGGCAGCCCGCCGUCUCGCUGCAGGCCGCCGGGGUGCAGGCCGCGCCCCGCCUCCCUCAGCAUCUGCCCGGGGUGCGCCGGGAGCCGCCGCCCCCGCUCCUGUCCCCGUGUGGAGGGGCGGCCCAGGCUGACGUUGCCGGGGCGCUGAAGUGAGACAGCUUGGCGUGGGGCUGCCCUGACAGAGAGCUCGCUGCAGCCUGGCUGCAAUGCCUGCUUACUGCCCUUAGUAUCAGUGCUGCUCACUGUUACCAAGUUAAAGCCCGAAAUAAAAACUGCUUCCCAGAGCAGUAAGAAAUAUUUGAACGCUUCAGGCAUUCGGUCCGUGAUUCAGAGAUUUAUUUAUAAAACUGUUGAUUUUGGGACACUAAAGCAUUGCAUUUAAGCUGCAGAAGUGAGUCAUAUUUGUGGGAGGUAAUUACUACCAGAACACACAACCAACUUUUGUAGGUUUCUUUGUAAAAUGUCCACUUCUGAUCUGCAACUACUAAAAAUAAGAAGCUUUGCUGGAUUUCAGCUUAAGUUAUCUUUAUGGGGUUAUGUGGCUUUAUACGUAAACUCUGUUUUUCUGACAUGAUAAAACAAAUGACUUACAUGCCUGGGAAUUUAUUUGAGUGCUUUAUGUGGGCUGUUCUGACCAGGUAACUUUUUCAGCUCACGAAGAACCAAAGACUUCAUUGUAACUCCGAAAGGAAAUUUGUUUGUUAGGGGAACGAUAGUAGCCAGCAUCUACAAUGUUUGUUCAUCAUAAAGAUCUUUGGAUUUCUUAUUUUAUCCCCAAACACAAUAAUUUACUCUGUUUUGAGCAGGUCCUGGGAGCUGAGAGAGAUCCAGAUGUCGAACACCUGCAGGAACUACUUGCAGGGAACUUUCUUCAUUACCCCUCGGUCAUGACUGUGGAAUUUGAGUUUAUUUAACUUGUGGUCACUUAGCAGCACUCCCCACCAGAGAUGAGUCAGAUGCUGUGCCACUCUCCCAAGGGAAUCUGCUGCAGUUGGGAUCAGAAAAUUAAUGUCAUCCAUCUUGGCACAUGAAGCUUAGAACGUUUUUUCCCAUGCCAUUAAGGGAGAAUGUAAGGAGCACCAUUAGCCCCAGUGGCCUUUCACUGCUUGCAGACCAAAAGUGGAGGUGUUAUCCAGAAUUCAAACCACAGGCCUCUGGAUAUCUCCUUCCGCUCCAAAAUUUGCAGUUACAGAAGAGGCCUUCCUUUAAAAGCUGCAAUUACCUGUGUCAGUAACGUGCCAGCAGUCAGCAGGCUCUGCACCAGCUCCUGGGAAUCUCAUGACUGACCACAUCUGGAAGCCUUCCUUUUGACUUCUGCGCUCCCACACAGCAAGUAAAGCUCCCACAGACUGCACGGCCUCAGUGUGAGGCAGCAGGCAGAGAUGGGAAGGGUGGGCACUUGUCACCCAAAGCUUUAUAAGGAAGAGAACUAAAUACUAUUACCCUUUACUUUGCCUUUUUGAGCACUCCCAACUGAUUCCCAGGAUUCUCUCCCAACAAGUGCUUUGUUUAUUUUUCUUGUUCUUUCUUGUUUGUUGUUGUUGUUUUGUUUGUUUGUUUUCUUUUUGCUUGGAUCAAAUUUUAGUUACCAGCUUACUCUGGACAAACAUGCUUGGCCAUGCUCAUUGAUUGUCUUCCCCUUCAGCAGCACUGGCUGACACAGUACUGUCCACAUCAAAGGAGCUCCCCGUGCAGUGGGGAUGCCACCGGGACAUGCUUGCAUGGGAAGAGGGCUGAGUGAGUGCCUACUCGGUGCACACCACACCCGGUGUCACCCUCCUGUGGGGGCUGGCUUUCACCAGCACUGAAGUGGGCUUAGGUACACUGUCCAUUAGGUUACAAAUUGCUUCUUAGAGUUAUGUCCAUACUAAUGUUACAGAAGAAUAGGAUUGGAAGGAAAAUUGUGUUUUACCUUGAAUUCAUUGUGCAGAAAAAUAGGGAUUAUGAUGUCAAUCUGAUUCAUGGCUUGCUCAUGCUGCUGUCUUUGAUCAAGGAGCAAGGGUCCCUGGACUUGGGAGAAAGAGAGAAAACCUGGUACUAAGUAUUUAUAUGACGAGAUGCUUUGUGGGCAAAAUUCUUCCUAAAAUCAAACUUACUUUUGUAUGUCAGGUUAAUGAAAGAUGAGCACAAAUCUUUUCUUCUGAUGGUUUCUUUGGUGGCUUUAAAAAGGAAACAGUUGCAUCCUCCCAGAAAUGCAGUGAUGGACUUGAUAUUGGAAAACUGCUUCACAAUGUGUCCACAAGUUAUGAAUAUUGUGUCACAGAAUAGUCACUAUCAAAACAUCUUAAAGAUAAAGCUAAGCAUAGAUAUUUAUCUUUCCACAUACAUCUUAGGGCUUUCAAUGUCUAUGCUAGAUGGUGGCUUAACCAAAUGAUCCUUGCCAUACUAUUGGCAAGGCAGUUUAAUUACUGUGGUUCUUAGAAAUUAGUGUAUUUUGGAUUCAGCAUUCACAUAUGAUGAAGUUAAACACACUUCACCAAGCCUAAAUAUUCCUUAGAUGUGAUUUAACAUAGCAAGCUCAAAUCAGAUGAUUUUUGCCAAUAGUUUUUAAAAUUCCUGAUUUUAGAAGCUAGGCUUGCCUGAGUCAAAGAGAGGUCUCUGUUAAAGGCCUGAGCUGACCUGGUGAUCCCCACUCAGCCUCAGGCUGUGCCAUGAACUGAAGGACGUGAGGCAGUUGAAGGGCUGAAUGCGUGUUGAAGAUGGUCUGCUUUUCUGACCCAUGACAGUGAAAGAACACUGGAUUCUCCUUCACUUGGCCAUUUAGAUCUGCUCAGUGGUUGCCUAGAUUUGAGUCCACAUCAUUGCAAAAUAUUCCCUGCACCAGAUCCUGGCAGAAUCAAGCAUUUCCCCUGGAAAAAAAAUCAUAUAUCCCAAUCGCAUCUUGCAUCACAUCGGCAGUUCUGCUGUCAUUUCACUAGAGAGAGAAAUACAAGGGAAGAGAAUCAUAUUUAAAUUGUUUACACUCCUUGAGCCCACUGAAAUCCCAUUAAAUUAGGUUUCUGCAGUACAGUUACUUGAUCUUUCUGAGAUAUCACAGUUGCUCCAGCACAAACAAACAAGGGGCAUUUGUUGCUGUUGCUGUGUUGCUAGGUUUGAUCACCAGUGGCAAGGCCAAACAUGGUUUUUGGGUGAUGUUUGCUGAAAUCCCAGCUCCAUGUCCCAUUUGAAACAAGGGAUGCUAAGCCAUCCCAGCAGAGUACCUGGGGCCACUGCCACAAGAUAAAACAGAUGAAGGCAAAUGAAAGGUAUAAUCCUUCUGGUAGGGCUUGGUUAGCAGCAAGGAGGGUUUGGAUAGAGGGCUUAAAGGAUUUGCCAAGUAAAUGCUGCCCAGAUCCCACUCUAAUUGUUAAACUAAGCUUCCCCCCUGUCCCACUGUUUUUAGGCAGUUAGUUGGUGCAGCCUCCUUUAAGUGCCACAAAUGAAAACUUUUCUUUGUGGCAUGUCCCCUUUUCUAACAAACAACACCUUGCCCUAAGGCUGUAGGGUAAGGUGGUGUUCAGACCAAUAACUGACCUUCUUGAGAUGAACAGCAGACCAAAAUCUCUCUUCUGAUGGCACAGCACCAGGGAGCAGGCUGCUGAGCCCUGUUCCUAAUGGUUUCAGGGCUGCCAGCAUCCACACGGCAUGGGUUAUUCACUCUCAUCUUCCACAGCCAUUCCUCCACUCCCAUCCUUGCCGGCCCUCUGACCACUGGCUGCUAUGGAAUGCUCACUGCGUCUCCAGUUCUGCACAGGAUUGGUGAGCACAGGCCUUGACCUAAUAGUGACUUGCUAUGUGCCUUUGUGGUUUUCUGCUCUUCCUGCUUUGUUAAGGACUCUAUCUUGUGGCUUCUCCUGGGACACUUCCUUGAUAUGCAGAAGUGUAAGAAAGGCUGCCUGCAGGCAGAAAAACAGAGUGAAACUGCAUUUUGUUAUGGAGCUCGGGUUCUGGGUCUCUUAUUUAAGUGUUUGUACGGGCAGUCAGCUGCACUUCCAAGUUACUUCCAGCGAUUCACCUUCGGGGGACUUAGAAGUGUGGUGGGAACUGCAGAGAUAAAGAUUGGCAACAGAUUAAUGAUAAAAAUGAAAGAAAUUUUAGUGAAACAAUUUAGCUGCUAGCUCACAAUUUGGUUGCCAAGUUUUAGUCCAGUAGAGUUGAAAUGGCCAAGUUCUUAAUGCCAACAAUUGAGGUUUGUAAAGGAAAUACCAAAUCAACCUUGGCGGAAAAAGAGGCAGACAUUAAAUUGCAGAGCAAAGAGUGCAUUUGCUUUGUAGGUUUAGAAAUAAACAAGUUACUUAGACGAAAAUAAGUUUGAGGUUCUUCUGAUUGUUUGAUUCCCGUGUGUAAGCAACAAGGGGCUGGAGCAGAAAGGUGCAGCAUUUGUCAGCAGCCGCUGAACUGGAGCGAAUGCUCUACAGAAUUGUCGGCGAGGGGAGCAGGGAAGGGGACUGGUACAGGGAAGUGCUGCAGAAGUGCUCAGAAACUUGCUCUGCCUCAUCGUGUAAAGGUUUAAGAAGAGCUCAGACUGCACAGUCUUGCCUCUUCUUAUUUCAGCAAGUGCCAAAAAGACACAUUCUUUAAUGCACACAAUAGCUUUUCUUGGAUACAUUGUCGACGCUAUACACUUGUCAUUGGACAGGUUUGUGUAAUUUUCCCUCUAUAAUGUGUAACAGUGUGCCCGCACAUUCCUGCAGCAGGAGAGCAGCUGAAUUCACUGUGAGGGCUAUCUUCCAUCCAAGAGGCAUUCCACUGGAGCUGGAGAAACUAUUCACAGUGUGGGGACUGCCAAGGCACGCUGGAACGAGGAUAUCAAAAUCUUCUCCUGAACUAUUAUUUCAGUUGUUUCAGUUUUAUAAAGGACAAAAGAAAACCUUACACAUUGCACGGGCAGGCUUAUUAGCUACUCUGCAAGGUAGAACGUAUUUCAUCCAGGAGUGACAGCUGAGCCCAAAACACCACUUUUCAGAAUCAGCAGGUUUCUUUUGUAGUGCAGCUUGCCAAAUACCAGCUUCCGCACCCAGUCAUGGACAUCAGAGACGUCACAGCAGGGAAAUGACAAAGCAUAAGUGCUGUUUCUUGUACAAGACCAACCUGGACAUUACUUGGUUGAGGAAGCCCUGCACCAGUUAGCUCCAUAACAGCUAUGCUGUACUGUACUUAGCAACAGAGAAUGGCAGCCAAUAGCCACGAUUUCCAGAUUGCUUUGUGCAUGUUACCUAUGAGUGCCUAUCAUCCUGUGUUCAACUUGCUAGCUCAGUGCAAUGCUUUCCUGUUCAAUUAAGCAGAUGUCAAGCUGCAGGAGAGUAUUUCUGGAGUUUCUGCUGUAAAUCAUUCAAAUGUGGAAAAGAAGCAGCACCAGCUAGUAUUUGGGUACUCCAUCACAUGCAGCAGUCACCUGCACAUCCCUUUUGUAGUGGUUGUAAUAAGCUGCUGCUGCAGUUUCACUUAUUCUGUGUUAUGCAUUUCUGUUCUUCCUGAAUUGUCCUUUUCUAUUUAAAAAAGGUGUUUAAUAAAUUCUAAGUAAAUAUGGGAACACUUUAUCAUGUGUGAAUUGGUAGCUCUUAUGAUACUACUUUGCCUUAAUCGAAGCAUGAACUUUCUAGUUUUAGCCCAUCAAAUAAAAUCUGUAACAUCAGGAAUACAUUAUUUAGUUUUCCUGAUAUAGUCCUUGCUGGAGGUAAAUAAGAUAUCAUAGCGAUAUCAUUCACUCAGUUACAGUUCUGGCUGUGUCAGCAUUUACAUUGCAAACCUUCUCUUUCAGGGGUUUAUAGCGCAGCCAUAAAAUGCACUCUCAUCUUUAACUUGGCACACCAGGUCCCAGCCUGGCAAUGAAUUUAUUUUACAAAAUGCAAGAACAAUGCAAUGUCUGUCUGGCUGUGUUCAAGUUAAAAUUCUUUAGCAAAGGAGCGGGCCUAUGUAGAGAAGCCCAUGCAGAAGCCACGUGGCCAGUACCCAGCUGCAGCCUUUGAAGGUCACCAGAUGCAUAAAGUCCAAGAUUGUCAGUGCUGACAACAUUUCAUGACAUUUUGCACAUGCACAG
rnacentral:lncRNA from 1 species